rnacentral:rRNA from 1 species
GACGAACGCUGGCGGCGUGCUUAACACAUGCAAGUCGAGCGGUAAGGCCCUUCGGGGUACACGAGCGGCGAACGGGUGAGUAACACGUGAGCAAUCUGCCCAUCACUUCGGGAUAACUCCGGGAAACCGGUGCUAAUACCGAAUAUGACCACUUCAGGCAUCUGAUGGUGGUGGAAAGUUCCGGCGGUGAUGGAUGAGCUCGCGGCCUAUCAGCUUGUUGGUGGGGUAACGGCCUACCAAGGCUUCGACGGGUAGCCGGCCUGAGAGGGUGACCGGCCACACUGGGACUGAGACACGGCCCAGACUCCUACGGGAGGCAGCAGUGGGGAAUAUUGGACAAUGGGCGAAAGCCUGAUCCAGCAACGCCGCGUGAGGGAUGACGGCCUUCGGGUUGUAAACCUCUUUCACCCAUGACGAAGCGAAAGUGACGGUAGUGGGAGAAGAAGCACCGGCCAACUACGUGCCAGCCGCCGCAGUAACAC